rnacentral:rRNA from 1 species
AAUUCGAAGAGUUUGAUUCGCGGCUCAGAUUGAACGCUGGCGUUAGCCUAACACAUGCAAGUCGAACGGUAACAGGAAGCAGCUUGCCGCUUCGCUGACGAGUGGCGGACGGGUGAGUAAUGCCCGGGGAAACUGCCUGAUGGAGUGGGGAUAACUACUGGAAACGGUGGCUUAAUACCGCAUAACGUCGCAAGACCAAAGAGGGGACCCGGCCUUCUUGCCAUCAGAUGUGCCCAGAUGGGAUUAGCUUGUUGGUGAGGUAAUCACCAAGGCGACGAUCCUAGCUGGUCUGAGAGGAUGACCAGCCAAUACUGAACUGGAGACACGGUCCAGACUCCUACGGGAGGCAGCAGUGGGGAAUAUUGCACAAUGGGCGCAAGCCUGAUGCAGCCAUGCCGCGUGUAUGAAGAAGGCCUUCGGGUUGUAAAGUACUUUCAGCGGGGAGGAAGGUGUUGUGGUUAAUAACCGCAGCAAUUGACGUUACCCUGGUGAAGAAGCUACACCGGCUAACCUGCGCCAGCAGCCGCGGUAAUACGGAGGGCGCAAGCGUUAAUCGGAAUUACCGGGCGUAAAGCGCACGCAGCGGUCUGUCAAGUCGGAUAAUCCCCGGCUCAACCUGAACCAGCCCGAAACUGCGCUUGAGUCUUGUAGGAGUGGGGGGUAUGUUCCUGCGUAGCGGUGAAAUGCGGAGAUCUGAGGAAUGUCGGCGGCGAAGGCGGCCCCUCGACAAAGACUGACGCUCAGGUGCGAAAGCGUGGGGAGCAAACAGGAUUAGAUACACCGUAGUCCACGCCGUAAACGAUGUCGGAGGUUGUGCCCGCCGAGGCGUGGCUUCCGGAGCUAACGCGUUAAGUAGACCGCACAGGUACGGCCGCAAGGUUAAAACUCAAAUGAAUUGUUGGGGGUUGCACAGAAAAGCGGUGGAGCAUGUGGUUUAAUUCGAUGCAACGCGAAGAACCUUACGGUCUUGACAUCCACGGAAGUUUUCAGAGAUGAGAAUGUGCCUUCGGGAACCGUGAGACAGGUGCUGCAUGGCUGUCUCGUCAGCUCGUGUUGUGAAAUGUUGGGUUAGAGAUCCGCAACGGCGCAGCAUAUCCUUUGUUGCCUUGGUCCGGCCGAGAACUCAAGGGAGACUGCCAGUAUUAAACUGGAGGAAGGUGGGGAUGACGUCAAGUCAUCAUAGCGCCCGAGAGGGCUACACACGUGCUACAAUAUGGCGCAUACAAGAAGAAAGCGACACUCGCGAGCAACAGCGAGGACCUCAUAAGUGCGUCAUAGUCCGGAUUGGAGUCUGCAACUCGACUCCCAUGAAGUCGGGAAAUCGCGCUGGCCAAUCGUGGAUCCAGGAAUGCCACGGUGAAUACGUUCCCAGGCCUUGUACACCGCCCGUCACCAUGGGAGUGGGUUUGCAAAAAGAAGUGGUAGCAACCUUCGGGAGGCGCUUACCACUUUGUGAUUCAUGACUGAAGGGUGAAGUCGUAACAAGGUAACCGUAGGGGAACCUGCAGUUGGAUCACCUCACUU